rnacentral:rRNA from 1 species
AGCUACCAUGCAGUCGACGGUAACAUUUCUAGCUUGCUAGAAGAUGACGAGUGGCGGACGGGUGAGUAAUGCUUGGGAACUUGCCUUUGCGAGGGGGAUAACAGUUGGAAACGACUGCUAAUACCGCAUAAUGUCUUCGGACCAAACGGGGCUUAGGCUCCGGCGCAAAGAGAGGCCCAAGUGAGAUUAGCUAGUUGGUAAGGUAACGGCUUACCAAGGCGACGAUCUCUAGCUGUUCUGAGAGGAAGAUCAGCCACACUGGGACUGAGACACGGCCCAGACUCCUACGGGAGGCAGCAGUGGGGAAUAUUGCACAAUGGGGGAAACCCUGAUGCAGCCAUGCCGCGUGUGUGAAGAAGGCCUUCGGGUUGUAAAGCACUUUCAGUUGUGAGGAAAAGUUAGUAGUUAAUACCUGCUAGCCGUGACGUUAACAACAGAAGAAGCACCGGCUAACUCCGUGCCAGCAGCCGCGGUAAUACGGAGGGUGCGAGCGUUAAUCGGAAUUACUGGGCGUAAAGCGCACGCAGGCGGUUUGUUAAGCUAGAUGUGAAAGCCCCGGGCUCAACCUGGGAUGGUCAUUUAGAACUGGCAGACUAGAGUCUUGGAGAGGGGAGUGGAAUUCCAGGUGUAGCGGUGAAAUGCGUAGAUAUCUGGAGGAACAUCAGUGGCGAAGGCGACUCCCUGGCCAAAGACUGACGCUCAUGUGCGAAAGUGUGGGUAGCGAACAGGAUUAGAUACCCUGGUAGUCCACACCGUAAACGCUGUCUACUAGC